rnacentral:rRNA from 1 species
UACGAGGGGGGCGAGCGUUGUUCGGAAUUAUUGGGCGUAAAGGGUGCGUAGGUGGGUUGGUAAGUCCGUGGUGAAAUCCCUGAGCUUAACUCAGGAACUGCCGUGGAUACUAUCAAUCUUGAAUGCUGUGGAGGUAAGCGGAAUAUGUCAUGUAGCGGUGAAAUGCUUAGAUAUGACAUAGAACACCAAUUGCGAAGGCAGCUUGCUACACGGUUAUUGACACUGAGGCACGAAAGCGUGGGGAUCAAACAGG